GAGUUCAUCCAUCAACCAUCCAUUUCCUUUUCAACCGAUGCUGUCGGCUCUUUGGAUCUGAAACCCAAAGGUCGUUAGAGUUCGUGCAUUUUUAAAGACCCACCUCCUGGAGUCCUGUGAUUCUCAGACACUCUCAGCUGAGGUUUAGCAACAAUCCACACAUUUCUAACCCUUCUCAUUUGAAGGAAAACAAUCUUCUGAAAAUGCAUAUGCACUAUAUGAGCUCAAAAAUCUGAGGUGGAAGAGGACACGGUGAACGCUGCUGCUGAUGCAGGCAUGGGAGACACUUGGCCACGCAUCGACUGCCAGGAUUUGGGGCAUGGAUGGAGCAAGCGAUGCUGCUAGAGCAGAAGUCUUUGCUUGGUGGAGGAGUAAAGGCCUUUCCGUGGCUAAAUCUGGUGUCAGAGAUACAGCUGGCUCUGUAUUUGCCCCAGAUUUCUUGUGUGUCCCCAGAAUUUGCUUACGGAGUGAUUUCAGAGCAGUGGGGAGAGGCAGGGCAAUUGCCUCCACCCUUAGACAGCCAACCUGGGUCAAAUGAGCUGAUUUAUGUUGCUGCAUCCUCUCCUGUCCCUAUCCUGGAUUUGGGAGGCCUUGUGCAUGCUGUAUUGCAGGGGCUGACGACGCAGGGCAAAACUUUUCUUCUUAAAGGAAUGUGAUGGUUGCAUACAAACUGGGCUAUACGUGUUUCUGUGACACCAGCUCUUCCCUCUCUCCCCUUCCCAGCUUUUCAAAGCAAAUACUAUCACUGUUUUCAUUGCCUUUUUUUUUCCUGUCCAUCAGUGGGUGGAUCAGCAUUUCAGUGCAAAUCCAGCUGCUGAUAGAUGACAUUACACUGUAAUGUGAGCAAUGGAGUUACUCUGCAAUGCAAUGCAUUUUUUUUUUCAUCUGUUCUUCUUCCCUUUUUAUCCCUUUCCCAGCUCAGACAUUCCCUGCUGCUGGUUGGAGAAGUCAAUCUCCAGGGUCUGUGUGCAUGUGGGGAGGGGGGGGUCUCUGAUACUGCCUCCGUGCAUGGUGAUAACUCAGGGAUAACCAUGGUCACAUGGUGGCUCUCAUGACACCUAAAGAGUCCAGAGUCACACAAAGCACUGUCAGGAGAAAGCGAGUACCACACUGCUGCUGAGCCUCCGUUAGCUGCCAGGAGAGGUUACCAGCAUGGCCCCAGGCAUGGAGAGAGGAGAUUUCCUGCCCUGAGCUAUGUAUGGUGCUUUGGAAACCCACAUGGCACCAUAAGUAGAAGGACAGAAUGGGAAGUUUAGGGAGAGAAAGAAGAAAGUGGUCGCUGGAAUAAAUCCCAAAGUUAUUAAAACUUUGUGAGUGAACCAAAUCUCUCCUGAGAAGCCCAGAUUCAGGCAGGGUUGGCAAGGAAUGCAGCCCAGUGGCCUGCAAGGGGGAUUGCAAGGGGCCAGGCACUGCUCUUUCAGAUUUUUUUUUUUUUUUAAAGGAUUGGAAAUCUGGCCAUUCCCCAUUACUCCUCCCUUUCCCCAAACUCCAAUGCCAUUGGCUUUUUUAAAUCGAGUUCCUAAGGAAACGAAGCAUAUGUGCCCAACUGGCUGGCUGCCUGCCUGCCCAUCGGCGCUCCCCCAGCAAUAAAUGAAUUCAGUGAGCAAUGUCAGCCAGGUUGAACCAAGGGCUAGAGAUGCCAGGCCUGUAGAAAUUUUGGGGCAAAGGCGACUGGAAGGAGCAAGGCUCCUGCACUGAGGGAGAGGCCACAGGGUGAGCUGAACCCUGUAUUAGACACCAGAGAAGCCGCUCCCCAGCCAAGACCUCUCUCCACCACCCUGAAACACGGGCCUGUCUUGCCAUCUACUGGUGAGAGCUCGGCAGAGGCAGCUGGAGCAGAGCAGAGGACAGGCAGGAGAAGAAGUUGCGGGGGGGCUCAGCCCCACUCGGAGAUCCUGUCCCUCCGCUGACAGCCCCACAGGGAACACGCCUGCUCUGGAGGGAAUCGAGCACAACCUUGCAAGCAGCAUUAUUCUUGCUUUCCAGAAGGCUUUCACUGCUCCGGUAGUCUACUAAUACCCCACUUAAACAUACUCCUGGCUGCUCCUUGCCUCUUUAUCCUGGUGGUAGCAUUGCCCCUCACCUAAACCUCCCUCAGGCUAGCUGCACUACAGCCACCUCCCUGCUCUGUCCCCUGUUUUGCUCAGGGAUGCUCCCUUCCCCAGUUCUUCCCCUCUGCACCUCUCCCAGUUUCUCCUCCUUGGACACGGAGGUCACGAAGGUGAACCAUAGGCAGCCUGGGGGUUAAUGGCUUUUUAGUGGGCCAGCAGGCUGCAAAACAGCGGGCCUAUUCCACUGACCCCAGGAGAGACCUCGGGGUGGCAAAUGGGGCUUCGAGAAGGAAGAGGAGUUCUCCCAGCUGCAAAUCCCUGAUGCACCAGAGAAACACAUGUGUGGGGGAAAGCUCGCCCUAUGCUAGGUCUGUGGGAUAGGGGUAUAGCCUAUAUGCAUGCUAGGCACUGCACUGGGGAGUGCUUGGUUUGACUCAGUGUGCUUCAAGUUUUUUUGGUUUUUUUUUGGAUAGAAGCUGUGCCCAAAUGCCAAUUUCUUCUUAAAAGGUUUCCGUGCUGUGGAUGAGCCACCACCAACCUGAAUUUUUAGGGAUGUCUGAGCCACUCAGAGGUUUGGCUUACAUCUCUUAGUGUGUUCAUGCUGGAGGUCCAUAGCUGAUGCAUGUAGAGCGAUCCUCCCCCUCCCCCACCCCACCCCAAUUCCUUCCAGCAUUUGAGAGGAUUUUUGGAAUAGGAAAAGGUGUCAGGAGGGGGAGCCAGAGCCUCAGUCUGGGCAGGGACCUGGGCUCCCUGUUCAGCUCUCAAAGCAGAGGGUCAGAGGGGCUGUUUCCCUUAAAACAUAAAAGAAAACAUGGGUGGAAGUCUGUGGCUUUGCCACAUAAGCAUGGCCAGAGAAACUCCCUUCGGGCCUUCAUCCCUGAGCAAGAGUCUAGGAAGAGCCCAGCAAAUAUGGAUUUGCAGUGACUCUGCAAAGGACCUUUGAGGUGUCUUCGGGUGGAAAAGGAUUUCUGUGGGCCUGGUUGACCCAUGCUGAGCUGGGCUGGCCCUGCUUGUGCCCCCCUAUAACAGACCUACAAAGGCUCUCCCGUAUCUCCUAGUCCAGCCCCAAAUUUAGGCGGCUCCUAGAGCUGCUGGAAGGGGCUGGCUCUGCCUCUCUAUGGUGCACCCUGCAAGUGGACAGCAGCCACCACCCUUUUGAAGCUGGUCUCAGUGGCAUUUGAGGAUGCUCAGAGUAGGCCCAGCACAUCAGGUUUUUCAGGGCCCUUUCAAGACGCUUAAUUUUUGGAGAGUCAUCCUCAAAAAUAGUCUGAACAAAGGCACCCUGUGAGACAGCAGGUUUAAUCCCUACCAGAGUUUUGCUUUGAAUUUUAAUUAUAUUGAGUUCUGCAAGGACUGUGUGGUUUAGGAGGGAUUUUUCUUUGCUCCCUCUCCUGCGGUGUUAGGAACCUAGGUGUCAGUCAAAUCGACUUCUGGGCCCCUAAAUACUUUCUGGGUUAGACUUUCUUUCCUGGGGUUUUGCCAGGUUGCCUGAAUUUGUUUUCUAGUCCUUAACGUACAUGGGCUUAUGCAUGUAGGGUAAUUUACAGGAUGAGCGGGUGCCAGAGCAGAUCUCUGCUGCCUUCCAGUGGUUAGCAGCUGAUUGGCUGGUGUGACCUGGAAGCCACAGGAACUGCUCACCAUGAUAGUCAGUAGAAAUGGGCCCAGGAGCCCUUUGCAACCUGGCUGGGGACAGAUGGGCAAGAAGGAUGUGGGCAAGAGUUUUGCUUUUCAAGGGGGAGAGAAAAAGGCAGAGCUCUGUCAUCUCAAAAGUUCAUCAGAACUCACCUAAUAGCAAGAAAAACAUAAGAACAUGGCAGUGGCCCCCUGGCUUUGGGUGUUCGAAACAAGGCAGAAGGAAGGGUGGGGGUGCAUAGCAGGUGAAUAAUAUGCAGGGCACUCUUGAGUCUUGCAAAGCUGUCAGAGAUACAAGCGCAGGAACUGUGUGCUAGAGCCCAUCUUCCAGUGCACAGCAGUGGCUGAUGGAUCCUCCAGUGAGUCCUGCUCUUCCUCAUCCUCUCAAAGUCCCACUCAUAGCCCCUCUCCCAGGUCUGUAGCCUCUAAUCACCUGAACUUUGACCUUAUCUUAGAAUAGUUAGCCUGAAAAAAAUCUUUCUUUUCACUAAGGUCCAUCUCUAUGCUCAGGGCAGUGGAGAGAGUUAUGGACAGAAGGAGAGCUAUAGCAGCAGGCAUCGCUUUUAAUGACAGCAUGAUAUCCUGUGUGUUUGUCCAGUGCUCUGCCACCCCCAGCCCCGGGGCAGAGUGGUGUUGGGUGCUUCUGCAGCUGAGCAAGCGCUGUCCUGCAUCUCAUCUCCAGCUCAGUUUCAGAGCUUUCUGAAUUAUUGAUGGCCCUAAUGCAUUAGUCUAUAAUUAGCUCUCCAGACCUUUUCCCAGUGGGCUGGAGCUAGGAAUAUGUUUUCUUUCUUUCUGUGGCUUUUUUUCUGGCUUGAGCUGAUCGGGAAGGGAGGAGGGGAGCAAGGGAUGUCCAGGGACCUUGUGGAAGGGGAACAUCUGCAGGUUUGGCAAGCGACCCCUGAGGCAUUGCCUGAGCUCAAAGGCUUCCCCAAGCCAGAGCCACAGGGAGGGUCAGGAAGGGCUUCAGACACCUGGGACUGUCUGAGAGAAGAGCGGCUGGGGGCAUUACAUACUGGCAGGGAAUGAGGUCUGGAGACAGCCAGGGCUGUCCGAGGGGUCUUCAGCCUAGCUUGUAUGGGGUGGAAGUCCUUGUUUGGAGAGCCGGGAGAAGGCAGGAGGUCCUGCAUUACACUUUGGGGCCUCCUUAGCAGUGGUCCUGGGGGGUCUACAGGUCAGAGGGAGAAAACCACUAAGCCCCAGCGCCUAAGAGAAAGCCCAUCUAAAGUGGGCAGAGGACUGUGUUUAUAUAUAGGGGGAUACAGAAAAUGCUAGGUUAGAUGUACAGAUUUAAAUACAGGUGGCAAAGGGGCUCUGCUGCUAGCGAAGAGCAGUUCAGGAUCUGGGUGGGUUCUGCCUAAGGGCUAUUCAUAAAGAGUCUAAAAAUGACUUCCAGCUUUUAGAUGGUUUCCAGGAGGUUCGGGUGCAUUAAAUGCUCAUUUCUCAAAGCUGUAAGUCCCAAUCAACAGAGGAACACAAAUAUUCUAUGGUUUCAAGGUUAGAGGCAGUAGCACUCAAGUUUAACUCUAUAUAGUGCUUUUCUGAAAGACAGACUGCUUGAGUUGCAGCAAGCGGCUACAGCAGAGAUGGAGAAGAGUGUGACGGAUACCUGCAAACUGUCUCAGCUCCCCCAGCCCCACUUCGGAAGCUCUGCAGUUAUGCUGGACACGUUUUGUUUAAAGUGGACAAGGAUUAGACAUUCUUGUAAAGGGAAAGGCUGAGCAGCAAGCACGACAUUCCCACUACUCCAGGCUGCUUUGCUGUCCCUUUUGAGAUGCUGGGGGAGCAGUUCAUGCGAGUGCCCCUGAACCAGUGCCUGGUGCUAUCAGCCAGGUGAACUGGAGAAGUGGGUCUAUCUACAUGAACAGCAAGGGGACCCCCACCGUGGGAUGCAAACCAGAAAUAGGGAUGCUGUUCAAUAAGCCAUUUUGCAGGUGCAGCUCAUGGAAAGAGAUCCCUGCAGUAGCUAGGCUCGGGGCUGCAUGAGGACCUUCCCUUUACAGUCCGAGGUCCCCCUUUUUCAACUAGUUGAAACUCCACCACACGGUGCCAGUGGGAAGGAACAGAUAUAUGAGGAUGAGGUGCUGGGGUUGCAAGAUGAGCUGUGUGAUUGAGUCUGAGGAACCUGAGUUCCCCUUCCAGGCCUCUGAGUCUGUGGUCGUCACAGACCCAACCAAGCAGGGCACAAAUCUUCCCGAGAGCCCUUCCUGCAAAAGCCUCACAUGUGGCACAGAGAUCAGCCAUACUCAGGAGCAGGAAGGACUCAGGAUAAGAUUUGUGUUGUUGCUGCCCAUGCUUGGCUGGGUCUGGGGACGAUCACAGAAUAGAAGGGCUGGAAGGAGAGCUCCCAUUUCCACCCUGUUGCUCCAAGGUAGGAUCACUCCACCUGCACUAUUCCUGGCAGGUGCUUCUGUGACCUGUUCUUAAAAAUAUCUAGGGAUGGAGAUUAUGGGAUUCCUGUUUGGAAUGAGCCCUCUUGUGAGACACCCUGUCCCAACCUCUAAUGCUACUUCCAGGGACUUGUCAUUGCCACAGGACUGGCCACCCAGGGAGGUGCAGCAGGCUGAAGAGAGGCAAGGGAAGGACCUGAUUCGUUGACAAGGAGGAGGUGACUUGGUGAGUUGUCCUAAAGAACCUCCAAAAGUCUUUGGCACCCACUUUCUGGGCCACAGCAUGGUGAAAGGGGCUUUGCCUCAGAGAAAGGCUGAUGCCAGGGCCAGCCUGGCCUAUGCGGGAUGGGGAACAACAUGCUGAGGACCGCUGUUGUCCAAAAGGGCACAUCCUACAUUCCCCUCAGCUUCACGAGGACUUCAGCACAGAGAUCUGGGUAAGACUCUUCAAACAGCCACAAACACACUCCAGCAGGAAACUGCAUCUAUUUUUAGCAUAUUUUCAUACUUUAUGGCAGAGCUUAACCCAUGGUUUUUCUCUUGCACAAGGCAGGCUGAAGUGAAAGGCAGUUUGCCUUCCCUCCACCUCUGUGGAGGACCCUGCCCCGAUCCUGUCUGCUCAGAGAUCCCUCACUCAGCAUUAGGAGAUCUCUGCAAACCUCUUGAUGCCCAGUACUGAAAAGUCUCAGAGACCAACACGGCCCACGCCACACUAGACUUUCUUCCUCUUGGCAGUUUACCUUGAUUGGCUCGGAUGACGCCAGGAGUGUCCUAGCAACUCAAAAUUCCCUGGAGAAAUGUGGCAGGGGGAUUUCUGAAUUACUGUAAUGGAGCCUUCGAACUCUCCCAAUUAGCAGUGGAACUCUGAAUACCAGCAACACUGAAGAGACAAGGACGUAGGGACAGGGAUCGGAUUAAGUUGCAAGCUUCAGGAAUCCUUUCGACUUUUGUUCCUUGUGGUAUUUACAGUCUGCGCACUCUGCCCAGCAGAUGAACGUGUCCAGCCAGCCCACCAGCCCACAUCAUAGCGUUCAUCCAAAAUGGCACUGGAUGUUUAAGCAAUGAAACCUGCACCUGGGGUAUGAAAUGAUUUUACAUUCAGACAUGGUAUUUUGGUGUCUGCAAUAAAAGCAGCCCACCAUGCACUCCACCUGGGGGGCCAUUAAAGCUAUUGUAGACCCUUGGGUCUGUUCAUCUGCUGACGUGUGGGCAUUUACGCACGUGCCAGUGUCAUCAGAGAUGCCCAGGUAUCUGAGACAAUCACACAGGACCCAGCGGAUGUGACAUUCGUCUUACGGGAGGCCCAGCCCCAGGAGAGCUGCUGAAAGGUAGGAUAUACCCAAGAGCACGAAAGACCCACAAAGGAGCCCUGGAUCUCCAGUGACUAUAACAGCAGCAAAUUUCUGAUGUUGAAUUGUACCCUGUCCCCCCAGGUGUAUGAGAUCCCCAGUAGUGAGCAGAGACCUAACUUGUGCUGUUGGUUUCCAUCAGCGAACGCUGUAGUCGAGCUCCUGUGCUGGUUUUCAUGUGCUCCCAUGCUCCUGUCUUCCCAGGCUGUCUCAGGGCACUGCUUUGGCUGGAGCUGGAGCUAAAAGCAGUGCUGCGCCUGAGACCAGUGCUUUAUACCCGCGUGAGCCUCCCAACUCCGCCAGGAGCUUUGCUGACGUUGGCACCUUCCUGUCUCUUCAAAAUCUGGCCUGCAACUCCCCCACUACAUGGCAUUCGCCUGAUGGGGCAUUUCUCACCACCCUCCCUCUCCCAUAAGCCUCAAGUAACCAGGAAAAGGAGGAGGGGAUUUAACAGAAACUGAAAUAAUACAAUGCCAAAGCCCUCCCCCAAAGCUGAUCUUUUAUCUCCGGGCAGGAGCAACUCCGGAGCCUCCAUGAAGCCUGCUGGGAGUUUGAGCCGACUACUGAUUUUAUUCAGGGGAUGCUCUGCUCUCCAGCAGUGGGCUGAGGAUAAAAUCCUAGGAGAACUGAAGCAGCCUUCCCAUAUUUACUUAUUUAUUUGACACUCUGGGUAUAUGCACGCAUGGGUGUGUAGGGAUUUAUAAAUGAACACGGGUUUGGACUGUCUUGUUUUUUUCCCUCUAAAAAAGGUUAAAAAACACCCACCAAAUUUCGCUAGAUCUGAGCAUUGGCAAUGUUCAGACCAGAAGCUUACACAGCAAUUGCACACACCCCAGGUGCUUUCGUACUGUCUCCCCAGAUGGCUGGGAAGAGCCCCAGAUCGGGCUAGGAGUCCAUGCGCUCUUUAAAUAUGGGAGAGUCGAUGUUUCUGCCUUUUCAUUUUCUGCCAGAAUUGGAUACUGCCAAGGAAAUGAGAAUGCAUUCCCUCCUGGCUGCAAGAAUUAAUAACUAGUAUACUGAGACAAAUGAUUCCAGCUUCUCUAUGUUUGUGGCUCAGCAAACACUGAUACUCAGCUCUCCAAUGCUCCCGGCUUUUCUGUGCAUGUGACACCCGCAGAAGACUGAGAACUGCUCGUGGAGGAUAAUUAUCUCCCCAAAGCCCCCCCAGGUGUUUUCCGAGGCCUCUCUUCUUGCAGGACUUCUGCCUUGGACCGUUUAUCCACAGAGACCAGGCAGCACCCAAAAUCAGCAGUGCACCGUGUUAGUGCUGUCACACAGUGACUGACCAGGUCCAGAGCUGGUGUAAAGCGCUUGAGCUUUGCAGGGGAGGGUCUGGAAAUGAUCCGCACAGCACGAGCCCUGGUUACUUCUUCUCAUUCUGCAGGACUUCUACCUUGCUGCUGUACUGCCCUCAUCGAUUUGUGUCCCUGCGUCCCCUUUGUUGGCCAUCCUGCUCCAACACAGGGCUGUGGGAUGCGCAUGUACAGCCCCUAGCACACUAAGGCCUCAGUCUCAAGAAGGACUGCAAGGAUCUGGGGUAAUACAAACUGGAACUAAUAUAGGAAAUGUAUCUGUGGGUCAAAGCGUGGUCCCUUGAGCCCAUGCUGGCCAAAGAGACGCUUUUUAGGGAGAGCAUACGAACCUGUCAGCUGGCUGUGGACCACUCCUCCUGCACUGCCCCAGCGUCUACACCUCUGGGAUCUAAGAUGCUUGAGAGGACAUCCCACUCUCGUCUUCAACAUCUAUUAAUGGACCUGCUGUCCAUGAAUUUUUCUAGCUCUUUUUUUGAUCCUGCUGACGCUUUCUGAUACAGACUGUGCAAAGGGUUACUUUCUGUUAUCUGUUUUAAACUGAUCUCCUUCCCAGUUUCAUCACUUGCUUCCUAGAAUUCGGUGAAAUUCAGUUCUGCAUUCACCUUAUUCCCCACUUUCACGACAGCUGAACAUGGCCAGACCAGUCUCUGGGGCAGAAGACAGGCCAAGACAUCAGUAUCGUUUACUGAUACAGAUGUAGUUUGAGUAGUUAGCCUCGAGCACGUUCCACUGCUGCAUAAAUACACUGACCGAAAAACACUCGAGAAACAUUCCUGGGAAUGCAACCUCUCUGAGAUUCAAUGCUCUAUCCAAUCUGGCUGGGAUCAGUGGGUUCAAAAGUUAUGUGGAGGGAAGAGGGGAUGGGCUGCAAAUAGAGGGAUACACAAUCAGCAUCAUCUCAUACGUGUCAAAGGCUUAGGGAAAAAAGCUAAAAACAGUCCAUGCAUCAACAAUCAGAAUAGACACCAAGAAAAAGAAGAUCAGGACAAAUGGGGAAAUUUUAUGAGGCGUAAUUAAUGUGAUCUACCAAAUAGAUCACAGUUCUGCUCUGAGGAAGCCAGGGAAGCAGAAAGGCAGAAAACGAAGCUGAGUGUCUCCCUCCCGCAUGCAACAUGCAAAUCCAUCCUGAGCAAUUCCUGGAGCAGCUGAAGGUCAGUAACUGAUUUGGAGACCUGGGUUUCUGACUAUAUCACGAUGCAGAUGUGCUUCCCAGCCCAGCUAGAGGGCUGCUCUAGCUCCCACUGUAAUAAAUGAGCUCAGAAUAUGAAUAGGGACCGCUGGCACUGAGUGGGGAAGGGAAAGGAGCACAUUCUUCGCUUGACAAGUGAGAAACAGGGAGACAAAAGCUCUUCCAUGCCAAAUUAACACACUUUUGUCUUGAGCUGCAACCCCUGCCCGCCUCUCUUUCCUCCCAGAGCAAAACUCCAGGCUUUGGGUAUGCUUCCUGGGCUAAAAGGAGGAGGGAGGAGGGGUAGAGGUUGUCUUGGGUUGUUUUUUGCUUGAGGUGGAACCUGCCUGCUUUGGAAAUGAGGAUUAGACUUAAACCGCUUGGAUGCUUUCAGCCCUCCCCACAACUCAUGUCAGAGCACAGACGAGUCUCUCCAUUGCCGUUGGGGGUGUGGAGAGCGUCUCAGCACAGCGAGCUGGCGAAUCUCUCCCAGACCUUCAUCCCAAGGCAGAAGGCGUGACACGCAGCGGAGUGGAGAGGACUGUCCCCAGCUCUGGCUGCUGAUCACCAGCCUGGGUUCGCCAGGGAGGCAUUUCCUAGCCUGGAUGUUGACAUUUGCCUUUGGGAGUCCUCAAAAACUGCCUGGCUCCUGGGCUAAAGCAUCUGUCCUCUUUAAUAAGAUACCAUCUUUGCAGAGCCCAAAAUUCAAAGAAGGAACUAGAGAAAUUCAUGUGGGAUUGGUCUAUCAUCAGCGACGUUUGAAUCGUCUCACUCAGCAGACCCCUACAGUGAAGGCAGAAGCUCAGACGCGGGGCCAAGGGUGAAGAUUCACCCCUAAAACAAGGUCCUGAGGAGGGAUGGCACUAUAGCCAUUUCCUUGCCCUGCCUGAUGGUCCAGUAAAGGCUCUUGCGAUGAGGUCACUGGUCCUUUGAGACCUAGAUGGAGAACACCAGCUUUGUUUAGUGGAUAUUGUAGAUCCAAACCAGUUAAAGCUCUAGUUAAGCCUUAGGCCUUUGGUACCUAGAGACUGCA